UGGGUGAAACCUGGUGGUGCAGUGAAGAACAGCUGUGAGAGAGAGGUGGAUGAUGGGGAACAGCUGUGAGAGAGAGGUGGAUGAUGUGGAACAGGUGAUGAGAGAGAGGUGGAUGAUGGGGAACAGGUGAUGAGAGAGAGGUGGAUGAUGGGGAACAGGUGAUGAGAGAGAGGUGGAUGAUGGGGAACAGGUGAUGAGAGAGAGGUGGAUGAUGGGGAACAGGUGAUGAGAGAGAGGUGGAUGAUGUGGAACAGGUGAUGAGAGAGAGGUGGAUGAUGAUGACCUCACCUGGAACUCGUGAGCGCAGGAAGUACAGGAAUCGUCCAUUUUUAGAGUGCAUGAUGGCUCGCUCAAUAAACUCCACCACUGAGUGACAACGAUCCUCAAAUUUAGGGUGACACCAAAGACUGAAUGUCCCUGUGUACACACACACACACACACACACACACACACACACACACACACACAGACACACACA